rnacentral:rRNA from 1 species
UAGGGAAUAUUGGGCAAUGGAGGCAACUCUGACCCAGCAACGCCGCGUGAAUGAAGAAGGUUUUCGGAUUGUAAAGUUCUGUUCUAAGGGAAGAAAAAAAUGACGGUACCUUAGAAGAAAGCCACGGCAAACUACGUGCCAGCAGCCGCGGUAAUACGUAGGUGGCAAGCGUUGUCCGGAAUAACUGGGCGUAAAGGGAGUGUAGGUGGUUAGAUAAGUUAAAUGUGAAAUCCUGGGGCUUAACCCCAGAACUGCAUUUAAUACUGUUUGGCUAGAGUGCAGGAGAGGAUAGUGGAAUUCCUAGUGUAGCGGUAGAAUGCGUAGAUAUUAGGAGGAACACCGGUGGCGAAGGCGGCUAUCUGGACUGUAACUGACACUGAGACUCGAAAGCGUGGGGAGCAAACA